rnacentral:rRNA from 1 species
UACGUAGGGACCGAGCGUUGUCCGGAAUCAUUGGGCGUAAAGAGCGUGUAGGCGGCUACUUAAGUCCUGCGUGAAAUCCUGCGGCUCAACCGCAGGCGGUCGUGGGAAACUGGGUGGCUAGAGUGCGGGAGAGGAGAGUGGAAUUCCUGGUGUAGCGGUGGAAUGCGCAGAUAUCAGGAAGAACACCCGUGGCGAAGGCGGCCAGCUGGGCCAGAUCCGACACUGAGGCGCGAAAGCGUGGGGAGCAAACAGG